GACGUAGGGGGCGAGCGUUGUCCGGAUUUAUUGGGCGUAAAGCGUGCGUAGGCGGCUGCGCAAGUCGGUUGUGAAACCCCGGGGCUCAACCCCGGAACUGCAUCCGAUACUGCGUGGCUAGAGGUAGGUAGGGGAGAUCGGAAUUCCUGGUGUAGCGGUGAAAUGCGCAGAUAUCAAGCGGAACACCGGUGGCGAAGGCGGCCUUCUGGACAGUGACUGACGCUGAGACGCGAAAGCGUGGGGAGCAAACAGG
rnacentral:rRNA from 1 species